AACGUACGCUGGCGGCACGCCUAACACAUGCAAGUCGAACGAAGUAGCAAUACUUAGUGGCAGACGGGUGAGUAACAUGUAGGUAUCUGCCCUUUGGCCUGGAAUAACACGAGGAAACUUGUGCUAAUACCGGAUAAGUCUUUACGGAGAAAGCUUUAUGCACCAUUGGAUGAGCCUGCACUUGAUUAGUUUGUUGGUGGGGUAAUGGCCUACCAAGACUGUGAUCAAUAGCUGAUUUGAGAGGAUGAUCAGCCACAUUGGGACUGAGACACGGCCCAAACUCCUACGGGAGGCAGCAGUGGGGAAUCUUGCACAAUGGAGGAAACUCUGAUGCAGCGAUGCCGCGUGAGUGAAGAAGGCCCUUGGGUUGUAAAGCUCUUUCGUCGGGGAAGAAAAUGACUGUACCCGAAUAAGAAGGUCCGGGCUACUUCGUGCCAGCAGCCGCGGUAAUACGAAGGGACCUAGCGUAGUUCGGAAUUACUGGGCUUAAAGAGUUCGUAGGUGGUUGAAAAAGUUAGUGGUGAAAUCCCAGAGCUUAACUCUGGAACUGCCAUUAAAACUUUUCAGCUAGAGUAUGAUAGAGGAAAGCAGAAUUUCUAGUGUAGAGGUGAAAUUCGUAGAUAUUAGAAAGAAUACCAAUUGCGAAGGCAGCUUUCUGGAUCAUUACUGACACUGAGGAACGAAAGCAUGGGUAGCGAAGAGGAUUAGAUACCCUCGUAGUCCAUGCCGUAAACGAUGUGUGUUAGACGUUGGAAAUUUAUUUUCAGUGUCGCAGGGAAACCGAUAAACACACCGCCUGGGGAGUACGACCGCAAGGUUAAAACUCAAAUGAAUUGACGGGGACCCGCACAAGUAGUGGAGCAUGUGGUUUAAUUCGAAGAUACGCGCAGAACCUUACCAACACUUGACAUGUUCGUCGCGACUCUAAGAGAUUAGAGUUUUCGGUUCGGCCGGACGAAACACAGGUGCUGCAUGGCUGUCGUCAGCUCGUGUCGUGAGAUGUUGGGUUAAGUCCCGCAACGAGCGCAACCCUCACUUUUAGUUGCCAUCAUUAAGUUGGGCACUCUGAAAGAACUGCCAGUGAUAAGCUGGAGGAAGGUGGGGAUGACGUCAAGUCCUCAUGGCCCUUACGUGUUGGGCUACACACGUGCUACAAUGGUAUCUACAACAGGAAGCAAGACUGCGAAGUUAAGCAAAUCCCUAAAAGAUACCUCAGUUCGGAUUGCACUCUGCAACUCGAGUGCAUGAAGCUGGAAUUACUAGUAAUCGUGGAUCAGCGUGCCACGGUGAAUGCGUUCCCGGGUCU
rnacentral:rRNA from 1 species